GACGAACGCUGGCGGCGUGCUUAACACAUGCAAGUCGAGCGGUAAGGCCCUUUCGGGGGUACGACGAGCGGCGAACGGGUGAGUAACACGUGGGUGACCUGCCCUCAGCUCUGGGAUAAGCCUGGGAAACCGGGUCUAAUACUGGAUAUGACUCCAUGACGCAUGUUGUGGGGUGGAAAGCCUUGUGCGGCUGAGGAUGGGCCCGCGGCCUAUCAGCUUGUUGGUGGGGUGAUGGCCUACCAAGGCGACGACGGGUAGCCGGCCUGAGAGGGCGACCGGCCACACUGGGACUGAGACACGGCCCAGACUCCUACGGGAGGCAGCAGUGGGGAAUCUUGCGCAAUGGGCGAAAGCCUGACGCGGCGACGCCGCGUGAGGGAUGACGGCCU
rnacentral:rRNA from 1 species